rnacentral:rRNA from 1 species
UCGAGAAUUUUUCACAAUGGGGGAAACCCUGAUGGAGCGACGCCGCGUGGGGGAUGAAUGGCUUCGGCCCGUAAACCCCUGUCAUUCGCGAUCAAAUGUUAUUGUUUAAGAGAUGAUAGCUUGAUAGUAGCGGAAGAGGAAGGGACGGCUAACUCUGUGCCAGCAGCCGCGGUAAUACAGAGGUCCCAAGCGUUGUUCGGAUUCACUGGGCGUAAAGGGUGCGUAGGUGGUGAGGUAAGUCGGAUGUGAAAUCUCGGAGCUUAACUCCGAAACUGCAUUGGAAACUACCUUGCGAGAGGGUUGGAGGGGGGACUGGAAUUCUCGGUGGAGCAGUGAAAUGCGUAGAUAUCGAGAGGAACACCAGUGGCGAAGGCGAGUCCCUGGACAACUCCUGACACUGAGGCACGAAAGCUAUGGGAGCAAACA